UACAGAGGGUGCGAGCGUUAAUCGGAAUUACUGGGCGUAAAGCGCGCGUAGGCGGCUUUGCAAGUCGGGUGUGAAAUCCCCAGGCUUAACCUGGGAACUGCAUUCGAGACUGCAUUGCUAGAGUAUGGGAGAGGGAAGUGGAAUUUCCGGUGUAGCGGGGAAAUGCGUAGAUAUCGGAAGGAACAUCAGUGGCGAAAGCGACUUCCUGGACCAAUACUGACGCUCAUGUGCGAAAGCGUGGGGAGCAAACAGG
rnacentral:rRNA from 1 species